CCGAACCCUAACCCUAACCCUAACAGUUGCAAGCGGCCAUAGUACUCGGAAUAUUCCACUUCCUGAAAUAUUCUGUACAUCUAGUGACAAUUCUUCACAGGACACAACUGUGCUUUAUCCUUUGGUCGAUUUCUUCACUGGAGCGAUUGACCGCAUUCGAUUUCAAUUUUUGGAUGGCUCAGUAGAAUGUAUUUGGAAAGAUUAAUCGAUGCAUACAAGUGUUGCAGAGAUGUGGAGAAAGAUGAAGCCCGUGACCUACAACUCCGGUGACAACUACGGAAAUGCUACGAAUAUUGACUCAAACCUGCUCCCCCAACCCAACCAUUAAUCUUCACCAACGUUUUUAAAGUUCAAACCGCAACAGAACGGUCUUCAAAGGAAACAUGCAACGAGCAGGCAUUCUACUUUCUGAUUUGCAGAGAGAGAAGAAAAAGUUGAAGCGAGAUUCAGAGAGAUAUGGAUUACCGGCAACUGAUCCUAUUUUGUAAGAUACAAGGAGAAUAGCCAAGCCCACAAGAAGUGGUGGCCAUGUGCGAUUCCAUCGAGGGUCACCGCUGUGUUUCCUCAUGGAUUUCUGAUAAUUCUCUUGCCCCCUCCCAAUUCAUCGGACUUUUAUUUUUCCCCGGAAAGAUCAGAUGCCGGCCGGUAGGAGGAGAGGGGAGGGGUUUGGUUUUGGUUCUGAUUGGAUCUUCUGGGCUUGCAUGAGCAACUAUUUAUAGGAAGCCUUCCUCAAGGGCGAACUGUCCUAAAGAGUAUUCAAUUGUUUUUGUUUGAUCAUGAUUACCUGGAAAUCGCCAAUCAAAAUUGGAAUGGUUGAGUGUUUAGUUCAUUAUGAUUUCAGUUGUUUGGUUGAACAAAAUUGAAAUCUUAUUCUCAUUCCUGGU